rnacentral:rRNA from 1 species
GCCGCGUGUGUGAAGAAGGCCUUCGGGUUGUAAAGCACUUUCAGUUGUGAGGAAAGGUUGGUAGUUAAUACCUGCCAGCUGUGACGUUAACAACAGAAGAAGCACCGGCUAACUCCGUGCCAGCAGCCGCGGUAAUACGGAGGGUGCGAGCGUUAAUCGGAAUUACUGGGCGUAAAGCGCACGCAGGCGGUUUGUUAAGCUAGAUGUGAAAGCCCCGGGCUCAACCUGGGAUGGUCAUUUAGAACUGGCAGACUAGAGUCUUGGAGAGGGGAGUGGAAUUCCAGGUGUAGCGGUGAAAUGCGUAGAUAUCUGGAGGAACAUCAGUGGCGAAGGCGGCUCCCUGGCCAAAGACUGACGCUCAUGUGCGAAAGUGUGGGUAGCGAACAGGAUUAGAUACCCUGGUAGUCCACACCGUAAACGCUGUCUACUAGCUGUUUGUGAAUUUAAUUCGUGAGUAGCGAAGCUAACGCGCUAAGUAGACCGCCUGGGGAGUACGGCCGCAAGGUUAAAACUCAAAUGAAUUGACGGGGGCCCGCACAAGCGGUGGAGCAUGUGGUUUAAUUCGAUGCAACGCGAAGAACCUUACCUACACUUGACAUGCAGAGAACUUUCCAGAGAUGGAUUGGUGCCUUCGGGAACUCUGACACAGGUGCUGCAUGGCUGUCGUCAGCUCGUGUCGUGAGAUGUUGGGUUAAGUCCCGCAACGAGCGCAACCCUUGUCCUUAGUUGCCAGCAUUAAGUUGGGCACUCUAAGGAGACUGCCGGUGACAAACCGGAGGAAGGUGGGG